rnacentral:lncRNA from 10 species
GGCAAAUGUCAAGCCAUAAGCAAUCUCACUGUUUCUGUACCUCACUUCCUAUUCCUGUAAGUCACUGUACCUUUUUUUGUUCAUAAAUUUGUUCCAACUAUGAGGCACCCCUGGAGUCUCUGUGAAUCUGCUGUGAUUCUGGGGGCUGCCCAAUUUGUGAAUCGUUUACUGCUCAAUUCAACUCCUUUAAAUUUAAUUCAGCUGAAGUUUUUCUUUUAUCAGAUGGUGUCAGAAGCGGGAUCUGAAGUGCAGCUUCUAGCAUCCCCCAGCAGUGCUGAAUGAACACUCAAGGUACCUGCAGGACCCACUUGUGUCCAUUGAUCUCUCAGAGCCACUGGGGAUCAUGGGUGCAAACAGUGUCACCGUGAACUACUGGACAGGAUGUACCCUGCACACUGGCUCCUAGCCAAGAAGAAAAUGGGGCCAAACGGAUUGCCAAGCCAUGCACUGGGAGCAGAUGCUUCACGUGGAUCAAGAGGCUUCUGCCCAGAGGGCCUUUCUAUAAUUUAUGCAAAGAACACAAAUGGGCUGUUAACCCUAGCCAAAUCUACAACAUUGAUGCAAUUUGGAGAUAUUCUCCAUUAAGUGCUAUUCCCACAUGACUCAGGAAGAGAGGUGGCGAGUGGCAGAUGAAGGCGAUGCUCCUCCAUUAAAAUGACAGGUACUGGCAGGGCGCAGUGGCUCACACCUGUAAUCCCAGCACUUUGGGAGGCCGAGGCAAGUGGAUCACCUGAGGUCAGGGAGUUCAAGAGCAGCCUGGCCAACAUGGUGAAACCUCGUCUGUACUAAAAAUACAAAAAUUGGCUGGGCGUGGUGACACACACCUGUAAUCCCAGCUACUUGGGAGGCUGAAGCAGGAGAAUCACUUGAACUUGGGAGGCUGAAGUUGCAGUGAGCUGAGAUUGAACCACUGCACUCCAACCUGGGUGACAGAGUGAGAAAUCAUCCAAAAAAAAAAAAAAAAAAAAAAAAAAAAGACAGGUACUGAUUAUUGAUGAUCACUUUUCAUUUUCCCUGGUCCCUCCAGAAGAGGAAACUGGUCUUACAAAGCUUUUUCCAGUAAAAAACAGUGCUUAUGUUUAAAGAAAUAUUUCUAGUAUUCAAGUUGAGUGACACGUUAUUAAUGGAAUCUAGUUUGGGGGAUUUCUACUUUGAGUUUUAGUUCCUAUGAUACUGGAAUUUCAAAAUAAAAGCACUUAAAAAUAUCCUUUAUGAGUCAGCAGAGAGGCUACAACUGAGGAGCUUUCAUAAAUCACAAAUCACAGGAUUUACAAUUUGGGGAACUAUAAGAGGAGAUAAACAACAAACUGAGGUUUUUGAGAUAUUGGGAAUGUUGCUGACCUGUAAUACUGAUUCCUAUUGUGAAUUCCUUUUAUUAUGUACUUAUUUUUUCAUAGUAGUAGAUAUUAUACUGCCUAUAUUCCUUUCUGAUAAUUUUGGGAACAUAGAACAGCAAGAUUUUGAUAUUUGUAACAUUUAGCAUCUGAGUGCAAGUGACAACCCCAAAGCAAGAGUGGCUUAGAGAAGGCAGAUAUUUAUUUCUCUGUCAAUUAACAGGAGGCAGAAGCAGGCAGUUUAAUAAAGAGACACCACAAUCAGGUGGGACUAAGGUUUGUUCUACCAGGUCUUUUUGUCACCCUAACAUGGUUUCCAACUCAAACUCCAAGAUAGCUGCUCCAGAUGGAGACCUCACAUCUGCACUCCCUGCAGGAAGGAGGAAGGGUCUGACCUUUCCUUUAAGGGGGAACACUUCCUGUAGCUGGUACACAACACUUCUACUUAGAUCUGACUGGCCAGAAUUUAGUCCUAUGGCCAUGUGUCUCUAUAAGGAAGACUAAAAUGUAAAUUUUAUUUUGGACAACCAUAUGCCCAGCUAAAAAUUAGUGGUUCCAUUACCAAAGAAGUAGGAGAGGAUGAAUAUUGGGAAACAAUUAGCCGUCUCUGCAAUAACCUUUUAAUAGUUUGCUCUAGAUGCUAUAGAGGCUAGAUUUUUCCAUUUUGUUUUGUUUCUUAUUGAUUUUCUUAAAGAAAAAUACUAGAUAUUUACGUAUAAACAAUACUAUUUUUUUCUGUCAUAUUUGCGACUAAUAAAUUUCAAUGCUACUUUUUAAAGUCUUUUAAAUUCAGUUAAUGUUUAUUAAAGGAGAGAUAUAAAAUGCUUAUAUUGUCAAAUUUACUAACCAUAAAUGUUGGGAUUUUUUUCCCAUUGCUUUUAAGUGUAUAAAAUGUUUUCUAUCCUGAGAUCCAGAGACUGGGAUCAAUAACCACCUUCAUUUUCUUCUACUUUAUUUUUUGUUUAACUUAAUUAGGUAUAUGGUAUGAGGAAAGUCUCUAAAUCCGUAAUUAUUUUCUAAAUAGCCACUGUAGAUCUUUGUUAUUUAUUAAUCUUUUUCUUUUGCAUUGAUUUGUAGUGUCUUAUUCAUUAUAUAAUUACACAAACAAAAAUAAUAUAUGUAUUUUUAACUUACCCUGUUUCACUGGUGCCAGAAAUGUUUUUGUAGCAGAAUAUUUGCUUGUGAUGAGGAAUUUUGUUGAAAAGUAUUUGGAUGUCCUUCUGGCACAGUUAUCACCAUUUAUUACCUAGAGAUAAAAACAUUUCUCUCUUUUUUAAAAAGUGAAUUUAGAAAAUGCUUCUCCACAUGAAUGUCCUGUAAGCACUUCAAACUCAGUAUGCCCAAAAGAAACCCAUCAUUUUGUAGCCUCAUUACAACUCUCCUCCUGUAAUGUUUCCCAGGACGGUUAAUGGUGUAGCUUUUAUCCAAUCUCCCUAGCUACAAACCUCAGCAUCACUUUCCUUCUGCAUUUCUUCCGCUAUUCCCCAGUGUUUGCUAAUCUGUCCUGCAAUGUUACCAGAAUCAGUUUUUUUUUUUAAUUUUUAAUUUUAUUUUUAAUUUAAUUUUUUUUUGGAAGACGGAGUUUCGCUGUUGUCACCCAGGCUGGAGUGCAGUGGCACAAUCUCGGCUCACUGUAACCUCUGCCUCCCGGGUUCAAGUGAUUCUCUUGCCUCAGCCUCCCGAGUAGCUGGGGUUACAUGCGGCUGCCACCGUGCCCGGCUAUUUUUUGUAUUUUUAGUAGAGAUGGGGUUUCACCAUGUUGGCCAGGCUGGCCUCAAACUCCUGACCUCAUGUGAUCUGCCCGCCUCGGCCUCUCAAAGUGCUGGGAUUACAAGCGCGAGCCACCGUGCCCGGCCCAGAAUCAGUUUUCUCCAUUUGUUGCCACUGCCUCUACUCUCAGGGUUGCACCUUCUCUACCCUGGAUGCUGAGAACAGCUCCAGCCUCUCACCUGUCCAUCCUCUGCAUAGGUAUCAGUUAUCUCCCUAAAUUACAGAUUCAAAUACAUUACUUCUUCUGCUCUUAAUCCUUGAGUGGCUUCCCAUCAUCUUUGGAAUAGAGUUCAAACUCAUUAACAUGAUAUUCAAAGCUGAACACAAGGUAGGUCUACAGCAAACUUUCUUUUCCCCACUCUUCACUCCUGGCUGCCCAUGAAACCUGUGUUCUGUCACCCAGGUAAAUGGCUCACCUUUACUUUUGAAUAUUUACACAUCCUUUUCCCUUGAGCUGUUUUGCGCAUAAACACCUUUCCCUCUCUGUUUGCAUAACCCAC